rnacentral:rRNA from 1 species
CCUACGGGCGGCAGCAGUGGGGAAUAUUGGGCAAUGGGCGCAAGCCUGACCCAGCAACGCCGCGUGAAGGAAGAAGGCUUUCGGGUUGUAAACUUCUUUUCUCAGGGACGAAGCAAGUGACGGUACCUGAGGAAUAAGCCACGGCUAACUACGUGCCAGCAGCCGCGGUAAUACGGAGGUGGCAAGCGGUAUCCGGAUUUACUGGGUGUAAAGAGUGUGUAGGCGGGAAAGUAAGUCAGAUGUGAAAACCAUGGGCUCAACCUGUGGCCUGCAUUUGAAACUGUUUUUCUUGAGUACUGGAGAGGCAGACGGAAUGCCUAGUGUAGCGGUGAAAUGCGUAGAUAUUAGGAGGAACACCAGUGGCGAAGGCGGUCUGCUGGACAGCAACUGACGCUGAGGCGCGAAAGCGUGGGGAGCAAACAGGAUUAGAUACCCGAGUAGUC